rnacentral:rRNA from 1 species
AUACGGAGGGUGCAAGCGUUAAUCGGAAUUACUGGGCGUAAAGCGCUCGUAGGCGGCUUGUUAAGUCGGAUGUGAAAGCCCCGGGCUCAACCUGGGAACUGCAUUCGAUACUGGCAGGCUAGAGUAUAGUAGAGGCAAGUGGAAUUCCGGGUGUAGCGGUGAAAUGCGUAGAUAUCCGGAGGAACAUCAAUGGCGAAGGCGACUUGCUGGACUAAUACUGACGCUGAGGAGCGAAAGCGUGGGGAGCAAACGGGAUUAGAAACCCCGGUAGUCC